rnacentral:rRNA from 1 species
UACGUAGGGUGCGAGCGUUAAUCGGAAUUACUGGGCGUAAAGCGUGCGCAGGCGGUUCGUUGUGUCGGUGGUGAAAUCCCCGGGCUUAACCUGGGAACUGCAUUGGUGACUGCACGGCUAGAGUGUGUCAGAGGGGGGUAGAAUUCCACGUGUAGCAGUGAAAUGCGUAGAGAUGUGGAGGAAUACCGAUGGCGAAGGCAGCCCCCUGGGAUAACACUGACGCUCAUGCACGAAAGCGUGGGGAGCAAACAGG